AGAGUUUGAUCAUGGCUCAGAUUGAACGCUGGCGGCAGGCCUAACACAUGCAAGUCGAACGGUAACAGGAAGCAGCUUGCUGCUUCGCUGACGAGUGGCGGACGGGUGAGUAAUGUCUGGGAAACUGCCUGAUGGAGGGGGAUAACUACUGGAAACGGUGGCUAAUACCGCAUAACGUCGCAAGACCAAAGAGGGGGACCUUCGGGCCUCUUGCCAUCAGAUGUGCCCAGAUGGGAUUAGCUUGUUGGUGAGGUAACGGCUCACCAAGGCGACGAUCCCUAGCUGGUCUGAGAGGAUGACCAGCCACACUGGAACUGAGACACGGUCCAGACUCCUACGGGAGGCAGCAGUGGGGAAUAUUGCACAAUGGGCGCAAGCCUGAUGCAGCCAUGCCGCGUGUAUGAAGAAGGCCUUCGGGUUGUAAAGUACUUUCAGCGGGGAGGAAGGUGUUGCGGUUAAUAACCGCAGCAAUUGACGUUACCCGCAGAAGAAGCACCGGCUAACUCCGUGCCAGCAGCCGCGGUAAUACGGAGGGUGCAAGCGUUAAUCGGAAUUACUGGGCGUAAAGCGCACGCAGGCGGUCUGUCAAGUCGGAUGUGAAAUCCCCGGGCUCAACCUGGGAACUGCAUUCGAAACUGGCAGGCUUGAGUCUUGUAGAGGGGGGUAGAAUUCCAGGUGUAGCGGUGAAAUGCGUAGAGAUCUGGAGGAAUACCGGUGGCGAAGGCGGCCCCCUGGACAAAGACUGACGCUCAGGUGCGAAAGCGUGGGGAGCAAACAGGAUUAGAUACCCUGGUAGUCCACGCCGUAAACGAUGUCUACUUGGAGGUUGUGCCCUUGAGGCGUGGCUUCCGGAGCUAACGCGUUAAGUAGACCGCCUGGGGAGUACGGCCGCAAGGUUAAAACUCAAAUGAAUUGACGGGGGCCCGCACAAGCGGUGGAGCAUGUGGUUUAAUUCGAUGCAACGCGAAGAACCUUACCUGGUCUUGACAUCCACAGAACUUUCCAGAGAUGGAUUGGUGCCUUCGGGAACUGUGAGACAGGUGCUGCAUGGCUGUCGUCAGCUCGUGUUGUGAAAUGUUGGGUUAAGUCCCGCAACGAGCGCAACCCUUAUCCUUUGUUGCCAGCGGUCCGGCCGGGAACUCAAAGGAGACUGCCAGUGAUAAACUGGAGGAAGGUGGGGAUGACGUCAAGUCAUCAUGGCCCUUACGACCAGGGCUACACACGUGCUACAAUGGCGCAUACAAAGAGAAGCGACCUCGCGAGAGCAAGCGGACCUCAUAAAGUGCGUCGUAGUCCGGAUUGGAGUCUGCAACUCGACUCCAUGAAGUCGGAAUCGCUAGUAAUCGUGGAUCAGAAUGCCACGGUGAAUACGUUCCCGGGCCUUGUACACACCGCCCGUCACACCAUGGGAGUGGGUUGCAAAAGAAGUAGGUAGCUUAACCUUCGGGAGGGCGCUUACCACUUUGUGAUUCAUGACUGGGGUGAAGUCGUAACAAGGUAACCGUAGGGGAACCUGCGGUUG
rnacentral:rRNA from 1 species